rnacentral:rRNA from 1 species
UAUAACAUUUGGAAACAGAUGCUAAUACCGCAUAACCACAGAAACCACAUGGUUUCUGUGUCAAAGAUGGUUUCGGCUAUCACUUUGGGAUGGACCCGCGGCGUAUUAGCUAGUUGGUAAGGUAAUGGCUUACCAAGGCAAUGAUACGUAGCCGAACUGAGAGGUUGAUCGGCCACAUUGGGACUGAGACACGGCCCAAACUCCUACGGGAGGCAGCAGUAGGGAAUCUUCCACAAUGGACGAAAGUCUGAUGGAGCAACGCCGCGUGAGUGAAGAAGGUUUUCGGAUCGUAAAACUCUGUUGUCAGAGAAGAACGUGUGCGAGAGUAACUGUUCGUGCAGUGACGGUAUCUGGCCAGAAAGCCACGGCUAACUACGUGCCAGCAGCCGCGGUAAUACGUAGGUGGCAAGCGUUGUCCGGAUUUAUUGGGCGUAAAGGGAACGCAGGCGGUCUUUUAAGUCUGAUGUGAAAGCCUUCGGCUUAACCGAAGUCGUGCAUUGGAAACUGGGAGACUUGAGUGCAGAAGAGGAGAGUGGAACUCCAUGUGUAGCGGUGAAAUGCGUAGAUAUAUGGAAGAACACCAGUGGCGAAAGCGGCUCUCUGGUCUGUAACUGACGCUGAGGUUCGAAAGCGUGGGUAGCAAACAGGAUUAGAUACCCUGGUAGUCCACGCUGUAAACGAUGAAUGCUAAGUGUUGGAGGGUUUCCGCCCUUCAGUGCCGCAGCAA